UUCAUCUGCACUAAUGUAAAGAAAUCACACGACAAAGAGUCAAUUUGUUCAAAACCUCUUUUAGUAUGGUCAUAUUUGAAGAGCUCAGCCGGUAAGCCAUAACUUUCCGCGACAUUGUUGUUGCUUAAGCGAGUAAACCAAAAUCGAAAUGUGAUGCUCAUCUAAUCGUCAUCGAUUGGUAAUUCUGAUUCAUCAUCACCGAGUGUUGCACUUUUACUGUCAUUUCGCAGUCCGGAAAAGUUAAUAAGACCCUUCACAGACAUUACUAAGAUGUGGGCGCAAGAUGGAAAUUACAAAACAGAUACAUAAGGCUAUCCAUUUUGUGGUUUCAAAAGUACAGGACUGUAUUUUGGCAUCUGUCGAGCUUAUCUGCUCGUUUCACCACAAAUAAUUGAAAGUUUAGCCAAAGACCAGAAUACGUAUAUUCCGAGCGAAAUUUUCUUCAACGACGAGGCACAUUUUUUCACUCGGAGAAUACAUAAAUAAGAAAAAUUGUCGCAUCUGGAGCUUCGAUAGUCCGAGAAUAAUGGAAGAGAGGUCAUUGUACCAAAAAAAAAGCUUACUAUCUGGUGCGUUCUUUAGUCCGGAAAUGGGACCUUACAUCUUUGAAAACGACAACUGCGACACUUUAACUCUCCAUUCGUAUGGUCGUAUAAUAACCGACUUUUUAUGGCCUACAAUUGAAGAAAACGACUUGGAUAAUGUGUGGCUUCAACAAAAUGGGGCCACAUUCUACACAACAUGAGCGAAUAUGGCUUCAUUGACAGAGAAAUUUUCUGGCCGAGCACUUGAAAACCAACAUUCAUCAAGUUAUGGCUGACAUACGGCGCAUUAUGGGCCGAAAGUGGUCGAAAAUUACCCCAAACGGAUAGCAGUGGUCAUUUGAGUGAUAUAAAUGCAAUGCGAAGUUUCUGACUUUAUAACAAAAAUGAAACUGCAAAAUGAAUAACCCGACGGAUUGAAUGAGUUGCCAGAACCUUUGACAACACAGUUUCGAGAAAAACGUAUUUGGAGGUCAAAACGCUGAACCUAAAUAUUUCGAGCGAGCAGCGUCCCAAAUCUGUACCUCCGAAAUAUUUUUUCGGGUCGACUUGAAAAUAUAGGAUAAUAUUUUCGAGAUGUCUUUAUAUUAAUACAAUGAUAAAAAGUCGAUUUACUUUGAAGCUGCGAUCCCCUCAAUCCUAUUGAAGUACAUAUCAUAUUUACAUGUAAACAAUCCUCAAUCUGUUGCACUAACAUAUGAUGCCUUUUAUACCCAACUUUGCUAUGCGGAAGUUAUUAGGAGUUACACCACAGCCACUCGACAAAUUGAACCAUUUAAAAACGCAUUAAAAUGCUUUUGCUGCUGGGAGAUGCUCGUUUUAAUUCUCACAGAUUUGCCGACAAUCUGCUUACUAUUCACUAAAAUCAGAAACAUUAAAGCGUCAUCAACAACAUCACCAACAUCCACAACAAAAACACUAAUUUUCGCAACCAUUCCUACAUUGAAUGCAACAGCAAUUGAAACAAAUGUGAAAUGAGUAUUCUAAUGGAAAAUCUAAUGCAAAAAUAAUUGCACUUAAAUUACUCAAUUUCACAUUUAUUCAUUUGUGUAAAGCAAGGCAGGGCAAGCAGGGAAAGCAGGAUGAAAAAUUAUUAAAUAAAUGAAUGCAAAUAAUUACACAGAAAGGCUGAGUCUCAUCACCAUCAGCAUCAACUGUGAGCCACACCAAGUAACCAACUAAAGUGCUAGGAAUAUGGCAACAAAUAAGAUGCCGCUCUUCAACAGCUUAGUCAAAUAUAUUGCUGAAUUGUGAUGUUGAAGACACACCUUGCCAUUGAGGUAGUUGCAGGUCAACAAAUGCACUUGAUGGUCGCCACUGAUCUGAUGUUUCACGUUAAAAUCUGCCAAAGUACAAUUAUUGCAAAAAAAGUUAUUGCUGGCUGAUAAAUUUGAAGUCUGAAAAUGUCAAAAGCCGGUAAUUGCAUGCUUUUAACCAGAUGUUAUAUGUUUGUUUACCAGUCAACAAUAUGUUCCACUUUCCAAACUGGGGUCCAUCACUAUUCGCACUCUAGAGGAAUUCUAUAUAAAUGAACCCUGCUGCCUUGCGGCAUAUUAAGUAUUACCGCUAAAAUCUGGGGAUAAGAAUCGAGUAUCUAUGAACAAAAUAAAAGAGAGCUGUGUUAAUACAAUAACAGUUGAAAAAAAUACUCUCACCAUUUGCACAUUGAUAGAAUAGUAUCCAUGGGCUACUUCAUGAUUUCUGCAGCUCAUGAUCGACACAUGAGUACAAUCCAACUUAUAUUGGCGAUGAUAAGGCAAAAAUUUCCUUUGCAGCUUGCCGCUCAAUUAGGAUUAUAAGAAAUCGAACCAUCGCAAAAAACAUCGAACGGUUGGUUUUGUAUAUUACGCGAUAGAUGGAAUGGCUUACGAUUGAACGACUCAUAGGUAUUCCCCACCACUCUCCAAUGGGAUGUUGACAGUAUCCACUUGCGAAAAAACGCAAGGCGGUUAUUAGCCGAACACUAAGAAAAAAUACAAAUACGCAUAUGAAACGUAACUUGGCGGUGUAUAAAAACAAACGCUUGCUCUCUAGGAACUGUUAAGAAUGGAUGGAUGACGUUACCUCUGAAGGCGCAAUUUUAGGGCUCAAUCAUUAUUGAGUGAUGAUCCAUCGAUUUUAAUACCAUUUUUUUCUAAACUAUAUUAUUUUAGCCAUUCACCUCCACCAAUUAUUAGAACACAUUAUAUUCUGAA